UACGGGGGGGGCAAGCGUUGUUCGGAAUUACUGGGCGUAAAGGGCGUGUAGGUGGCCAACUAAGUCAGACGUGAAAUCCCUCGGCUUAACCGGGGAACUGCGUCUGAUACUGGAUGGCUUGAGUGUGGGAGAGGGAUGCGGAAUUCCAGGUGUAGCGGUGAAAUGCGUAGAUAUCUGGAGGAACACCGGUGGCGAAGGCGGCACCCUGGACCAACACUGACGCUGAGGAGCGAAAGCCAGGGGAGCAAACGGG
rnacentral:rRNA from 1 species